rnacentral:lncRNA from 1 species
AAUCACGUGAAUUUGACUUUGGGGACACAACACAGGGGAUGUGUCUAUCUAGGACAUGUGUACUCAAAAUAAAAGAUUAUCCUGGUGCAUCCUACCUGCUACUUGUGCAUUUUGUUUGAUCUGGUUUGCAUGUUGACCGACUUCUAGAAUAAGUACUGAAAAUUGAGAAAAAGCAGGAAUAAGAGAUAAAGUCCCGGUAUUUG